rnacentral:rRNA from 1 species
GAUGAACGCUGGCGGCGUGCCUAAUACAUGCAAGUCGAGCGAACAGACGAGGAGCUUUCUCCUCUGACGUUAGCGGCGGACGGGUGAGUAACACGUGGAUAACCUACCUAUAAGACUGGGAUAACUUCGGGAAACCGGAGCUAAUACCGGAUAAUAUAUUUAACCGCAUGGUUCAAUAGUGAAAGACGGUUUUGCUGUCACUUAUAGAUGGAUCCGCGCCGCAUUAGCUAGUUGGUAAGGUAACGGCUUACCAAGGCGACGAUGCGUAGCCGACCUGAGAGGGUGAUCGGCCACACUGGAACUGAGACACGGUCCAGACUCCUACGGGAGGCAGCAGUAGGGAAUCUUCCGCAAUGGGCGAAAGCCUGACGGAGCAACGCCGCGUGAGUGAUGAAGGUCUUCGGAUCGUAAAACUCUGUUAUUAGGGAAGAACAAAUGUGUAAGUAACUAUGCACGUCUUGACGGUACCUAAUCAGAAAGCCACGGCUAACUACGUG